UACGUAGGGUGCGAGCGUUAAUCGGAAUUACUGGGCGUAAAGCGUACGCAGGCGGCUGCGCAAGACAGAUGGUAAAUCCCCGGGCCUAACCUGGGAACUGCAUUUGUGACUACGCAGCUCGAGUCCGUCAGAGGUGGGUGGAAGUCCACGUGUAGCAGUGAAAUGCGUAGAGAUGUGGAGGAACACCGAUGGCGAAGGCAGCCCCCUGGGAUGAGACUGACGCUCAGGUACGAAAGCGUGGGGAGCAAACAGG
rnacentral:rRNA from 1 species